CGCGCAGGCGGUCUUGUCCGUCAGGUGUGAAAGCUCGGGGCUCAACCCCGGAAGUGCACUUGAAACAGCAAGACUUGAAUACGGGAGAGGAAAGCGGAAUUCCUGGUGUAGAGGUGAAAUUCGUAGAUAUCAGGAGGAACACCGAUGGCGAAGGCAGCUUUCUGGACCGAUAUUGACGCUGAGGCGCGAAGGCGUGGGUAGCGAACAGGAUUAGAUACCCUGGUAGUCC
rnacentral:rRNA from 1 species